GUAGAUAUAGUUUAAUCAAAACACUAGAUUGUGAUUCUGAAGAUAGGAGUUAAAAUCUCCUUAUCCACC
rnacentral:tRNA from 1 species